UACAGGGGGUGCAAACGUUGCUCGGAAUCAUUGGGCGUAAAGCGCACGUAGGCGGUCUGUUAUGUCGGAUGUGAAAUCCCUCGGCUCAACCGAGGAACGUCGAUCGAUACUGCUGUUCUUGAGGAUUGCAGAGGAGACUGGAAUUCCCGGUGUAGCGGUGAAAUGUGUAGAGAUCGGGAGGAACACCGGUGGCGAAGGCGGGUCUCUGGGCAAUUCCUGACGCUGAGGCGCGAAAGCGUGGGGAGCAAACAGG
rnacentral:rRNA from 1 species